UGGGGAAUAUUGCACAAUGGGCGCAAGCCUGAUGCAGCCAUGCCGCGUGUGUGAAGAAGGCCUUCGGGUUGUAAAGCACUUUCAGCGAGGAGGAAGGGCAGUGUGUUAAUAGCAGACUGCAUUGACGUUACUCGCAGAAGAAGCACCGGCUAACUCCGUGCCAGCAGCCGCGGUAAUACGGAGGGUGCAAGCGUUAAUCGGAAUUACUGGGCGUAAAGCGCACGCAGGCGGUUUGUUAAGUCAGAUGUGAAAUCCCCGCGCUUAACGUGGGAACUGCAUUUGAAACUGGCAAGCUAGAGUCUUGUAGAGGGGGGUAGAAUUCCAGGUGUAGCGGUGAAAUGCGUAGAGAUCUGGAGGAAUACCGGUGGCGAAGGCGGCCCCCUGGACAAAGACUGACGCUCAGGUGCGAAAGCGUGGGGAGCAAACAGG
rnacentral:rRNA from 1 species